CCCUUAGAUGUUCUGGGCUGCACGCGCGCUACACUGAUGCGUUCAACGAGUUUAUGACCUUGCCCGAUAGGGUUGGGUAAUCUUUUUAAAUCGCAUCGUGAUGGGGAUAGAUUAUUGCAAUUAUUAAUCUUCAACGAGGAAUUCCUAGUAAGCGCGAGUCAUCAGCUCGUGCUGAUUACGUCCCUGCCCUUUGUACACACCGCCCGUCGCACCUACCGAUUGAAUGGUCCGGUGAAGCCUCCGGAUUGGCGCGCACCCCGGUGCCGCCGAGAAGUUGGCUAAACCUUACCAUUUAGAGGAAGGUGAAGUCGUAACA
rnacentral:rRNA from 1 species